rnacentral:tRNA from 1 species
GACGUCGUAGUGCGCGGCAGUGCUGUCGGCUUUGACGUAGCCGAAGCCGCGAGCAGCUCGGCCGGCUUGGCGGUC